rnacentral:rRNA from 1 species
GGGGUACUGUACGUGGUAGAGUAGCCUUGUUGCUACCAUCCACUGAGGUUAAGCCCUUGUUCUAAAGAUUUGUUCAACGA